rnacentral:rRNA from 1 species
CCUACGGGAGGCAGCAGUGGGGAAUAUUGCACAAUGGGCGCAAGCCUGAUCCAGCACCGCCGCGUGAAGGAAGAAGGGUUUCGGCUCGUAAACUUCUUUCAAGAGGGACGAGCAAAAGGACGUACCCUUUGUAUAAGCCCCGGCUAAAGUAGUGCCCGCCGCCGAGGUUAUACGUAGGUGGCAAGCGUUUACCGGAUUUACAUGGUGUAAAGGGCGGGUAGACGGGCUGAGAAGUCAGAUGUGAAAGCCCUGGGCUUAACCACGGAACUGCAUUUGGAACUUUCGGUCUUGAGUACCGGAGAGGCAGGCGGAAUUCCUAGUGUAGCGGUGAAAUGCGUAGAUAUUAGGAGGAACACCAGUGGCGAAGGCGGCCUGCUGGACGACAACUGACGGUGAGGCGCGAAAGCGUGGGGAGCAAACAGGAUUAGAUACCCUAGUAGUC